rnacentral:rRNA from 1 species
UACGUAGGGGGCGAGCGUUGUCCGGAAUUAUUGGGCGUAAAGAGCGUGUAGGCGGUUCGGUAAGUCUGCCGUGAAAACCUGGGGCUCAACCCCGGGCGUGCGGUGGAUACUGCCGGGCUAGAGGGUGGUAGAGGCGAGUGGAAUUCCCGGUGUAGCGGUGAAAUGCGCAGAUAUCGGGAGGAACACCGGUGGCGAAGGCGGCUUCCUGGACCGACACUGACGCUGAGGCGCGAAAGCUAGGGGAGCAAACGGG